rnacentral:rRNA from 1 species
UACGGAAGGCAGCAGUGGGGAAUAUUGCACAAUGGGCGAAAGCCUGAUGCAGCUAUGCCGCGUGUAUGAAGAAGGCCUUAGGGUUGUAAAGUACUUUCAUCGGGGAGGAAAAACAAAACUAAUAAUUUUAUUUCUUGACGUUACCCGAAAAAGAAGCACCGGCUAACUCCGUGCCAGCAGCCGCGGUAAUACGGAGGGUGCUAGCGUUAAUCAGAAUUACUGGGCGUAAAGAGCACGUAGGUGGUUUUUUUAAAGUCAGAUGUGAAAUCCCUGGGCUUAACCUAGGAACUGCAUUUUGAAACUGAAAUACUAGAGUAUCGUAGAGGGAGGUAGAAUUCUAGGUGUAGCGGUGAAAUGCGUAGAUAUCUGGAGGAAUACCUGUGGCGAAAGCGGCCUCCUAAACGAAUACUGACACUGAGGUGCGAAAGCGUGGGGAGCAAAACAGGGAUUAGAUACC